CGGGGGGCUGCAGUGGGGAAUAUUGGACAAUGGGCGAAAGCCUGAUCCAGCCAUGCCGCGUGAGUGAUGAAGGCCUUAGGGUUGUAAAGCUCUUUUAGCAGGGAAGAUAAUGACGGUACCUGCAGAAAAAGCCCCGGCUAACUUCGUGCCAGCAGCCGCGGUAAUACGAAGGGGGCUAGCGUUGUUCGGAUUUACUGGGCGUAAAGCGCACGUAGGCGGAUCGUUAAGUCGGGGGUGAAAUCCUGGAGCUCAACUCCAGAACUGCCUUCGAUACUGGCGAUCUUGAGUCCGGAAGAGGUGAGUGGAACUCCUAGUGUAGAGGUGGAAUUCGUAGAUAUUAGGAAGAACACCAGUGGCGAAGGCGGCUCACUGGUCCGGUACUGACGCUGAGGUGCGAAAGCGUGGGGAGCAAACAGGAUUAGAUACCCGAGUAGUC
rnacentral:rRNA from 1 species